rnacentral:rRNA from 1 species
UACGGGGGGGGUAAGCGUUGUUCGGAAUUACUGGGCGGAAAGGGCUCGUAGGCGGCCAACUAAGUCAUACGUGAAAUCCCUCAGCUUAACUGGGGAACUGCGUGUGAUACUGGAUGGCUUGGAUUUGGGAGAGGGAUGCGGAAUUCCAGGUGUAGCGGUGAAAUGCGUAGAUAUCUGGAGGAAUACCGGUGGCGAAGGCGGCAUCCUGGACCGACAUUGACGCUGAGGAGCGAAAGCUAGGGGAGCAAACGGG